UACGGGGGAGCAAGCGUUGUUCGGAUUUACUGGGCGUAAAGGGCGCGUAGGCGGCCACCGCAAGUCGACUGUGAAAUCUCCGGGCUUAACUCGGAAGGUCAGCCGAUACUGCGGGGCUAGAGUGCAGAAGGGGCGAACUGGAAUUCUCGGUGUAGCGGAUGAAAUGCGUAGAUAUCGAGAGGAACACCUGCGGCGAAGGCGGGUGCUGGGCUGACACUGACGCUGAUUGUGCGAAGCUAGGG
rnacentral:rRNA from 1 species